CCUCACUCUGCCAGGGCAGGUUUCAGGAGACACUCAGGCCGAAGGCACUUGGGAAACCAGUGUCCCUGAGCCGUCCCUCUGGGGGCAGCAAGUCUUUGCACGUUGGCCAAGAGAUAAUUUUUUUAAAAACUUUUAUUUGGAGACAAAGAAUGCAUGGGAGCAGGUGCAUAGGGUCAGGGAGAGAACAGGGCCUACACUGCAAAGCAGAAAACAGACAAGUUAAUGGACCUGAUCCUGCUUUAGUCUUGAUUAGGACUCAGCAAACUUUCUCUGUAAGGGGCCAGCAGUAAAUAUUUUAGGUUUCAUGGUCCAUACCAUCUCCACUGCACCUACUCAGCUCCGCCCUUGUAGCAUGAAAGCUGCUGUAGACAACACAGGACCAAUGAGCGUGGCUGCCUCCCCAGAACCGUUUGCCCAACAGGCAGAGUGCAAGCAGCAGUGUGUUUAGAGUGCUGUUGCUUUCUAGGGUGAUGAAAGAUUAUCUAACUACCUGUGAUGUUAGAAGCCAGACCUACAAAGACACAGAGUCCAAGGCUUGUAGAGAAUAGGUCCAGAGAAGUAGUCUUGUCACCAGGAGGCUUCCAGAGUUAUCAAUAGCAAGGAUUUCUGCCCUGGUCAGAGCAUUACAUUUGCUUUUGUCCCCAUGAUACAGUUCAGGCAAUGUUGGAAAGAUCAGAUUGAUGAGCCACUAAGUGACUAUAGCUCUAAAAAUAGGAUUGUAAAGAUAGCGUCCGAUGGUUGGCAAACCGUGGCCUGUUUAGUUGGCCUCUUUCUGUAGAGCCCGCAACCUAAGAAUGGCUUCUACAUUCACACAGGGUGGGAAAUACCAGCAGGAGGAGGAGGAGGCAGAGCUGGAGGAAGAAGAGGAGCUGGAGGAGGAAGAGAAAGAAGGAGGUGCAGGAGCUGGAGGGGGGAGGGGCAGCUGGAGGAGGGCGGGGAGAUGGAGGAGGAGGAGAAGGAAGAGAAGGAGGAGGUACAGGAGAUAAGAAGAACCAGAACAGCAAGAGCAGCCGGGAGGAGGGGGAGGCACGACCCUGAGACCGUGUCCCUGGAAGCCUCACCUCCUUGCUAUUGGCCGGGGCGGAGGAAGCCCGCCUUCCGGCUGGAGAGCGCAGAGACCACGUUGCCAGAAGACUGCUGGGACCUGGUCCAUCAGAGAAGGCAGGUGUCAGACCCGCCCGCCGUGCUUCCUGACGCAGCACAAAGAGGGGAAGCUUGCAUCAUUAAGGUGGGCUUGUGGGGGAGGAAUUCCCUUCCCACGUUUAUUCCAGAAGAGAGAAAUGUUUUAAACCGCGACAAAUUGCCAUGUCUGUGGGUACAGAGCCCUUCCCAGAAAAUGUGAUUUACAUUCACGCUUCUGCCGUUUGGCAGGAGCAGAUUUUCUGUCAUGCG
rnacentral:lncRNA from 1 species